rnacentral:rRNA from 1 species
CAAGACAACUUUACGGAGUUGACGAUUGACGGAGCGAAGCGACGUCAAAGCGUUCAUUAAAGUCGAGUUGGCUUAGGGAUACGUUCGUUGGGUAGGGGAGCGUUCUGUAAGCCUGUGAAGGUGUGUCGUGAGGCAUGCUGGAGGUAUCAGAAGUGCGAAUGCUGACAUAAGUAACGAUAAAGCGGGUGAAAAGCCCGCUCGCCGGAAGACCAAGGGUUCCUGUCCAACGUUAAUCGGGGCAGGGUGAGUCGACCCCUAAGGCGAGGCCGAAAGGCGUAGUCGAUGGGAAACGGGUUAAUAUUCCCGUACUUGGUGUUACUGCGAAGGGGGGACGGAGAAGGCUAUGUUGGCCGGGCGACGGUUGUCCCGGUUUAAGCGUGUAGGUGUGUGUUCCAGGUAAAUCCGGUUCACUUUAACACUGAGGCGUGACGACGAGGCACUACGGUGCUGAAGCAACAAAUGCCCUGCUUCCAGGAAAAGCCUCUAAGCAUCAGGUAACACGAAAUCGUACCCCAAACCGACACAGGUGGUCAGGUAGAGAAUACCAAGGCGCUUGAGAGAACUCGGGUGAAGGAACUAGGCAAAAUGGUGCCGUAACUUCGGGAGAAGGCACGCUGACACGUAGGUGAAGUGAUUUACUCAUGGAGCUGAAGUCAGUCGAAGAUACCAGCUGGCUGCAACUGUUUAUUAAAAACACAGCACUGUGCAAACACGAAAGUGGACGUAUACGGUGUGACGCCUGCCCGGUGCCAGAAGGUUAAUUGAUGGGGUCAGCGUAAGCGAAGCUCCUGAUCGAAGCCCCGGUAAACGGCGGCCGUAACUAUAACGGUCCUAAGGUAGCGAAAUUCCUUGUCGGGUAAGUUCCGACCUGCACGAAUGGCGUAAUGAUGGCCAGGCUGUCUCCACCCGAGACUCAGUGAAAUUGAACUCGCUGUGAAGAUGCAGUGUACCCGCGGCAAGACGGAAAGACCCCGUGAACCUUUACUAUAGCUUGACACUGAACAUUGAGCCUUGAUGUGUAGGAUAGGUGGGAGGCUUUGAAGUGUGGACGCCAGUCUGCAUGGAGCCGACCUUGAAAUACCACCCUUUAAUGUUUGAUGUUCUAACGUGGACCCGUAAUCCGGGUUGCGGACAGUGUCUGGUGGGUAGUUUGACUGGGGCGGUCUCCUCCUAAAGAGUAACGGAGGAGCACGAAGGUUGGCUAAUCCUGGUCGGACAUCAGGAGGUUAGUGCAAUGGCAUAAGCCAGCUUGACUGCGAGCGUGACGGCGCGAGCAGGUGCGAAAGCAGGUCAUAGUGAUCCGGUGGUUCUGAAUGGAAGGGCCAUCGCUCAACGGAUAAAAGGUACUCCGGGGAUAACAGGCUGAUACCGCCCAAGAGUUCAUAUCGACGGCGGUGUUUGGCACCUCGAUGUCGGCUCAUCACAUCCUGGGGCUGAAGUAGGUCCCAAGGGUAUGGCUGUUCGCCAUUUAAAGUGGUACGCGAGCUGGGUUUAGAACGUCGUGAGACAGUUCGGUCCCUAUCUGCCGUGGGCGCUGGAGAACUGAGGGGGGCUGCUCCUAGUACGAGAGGACCGGAGUGGACGCAUCACUGGUGUUCGGGUUGUCAUGCCAAUGGCACUGCCCGGUAGCUAAAUGCGGAAGAGAUAAGUGCUGAAAGCAUCUAAGCACGAAACUUGCCCCGAGAUGAGUUCUCCCUGAGACUUAGAGUCUCCUGAAGGAACGUUGAAGACGACGACGUUGAUAGGCCGGGUGUGUAAGCGCAGCGAUGCGUUGAGCUAACCGGUACUAAUGAACCGUGAGGCUUAACCUUACAACGCCGAAG